UGCGCCCGUAGCUCAUAGGAUAGAGCAUCGGUUUCCUAAACCGGGGGGUCGCAGGUUCGAGUCCUGCCGGGCGUAU
rnacentral:tRNA from 1 species